AGUGAACGCUGGCGGUAGGCCUAACACAUGCAAGUCGAACGGCAGCACAGUAAGAGCUUGCUCUUACGGGUGGCGAGUGGCGGACGGGUGAGGAAUACAUCGGAAUCUACUUUUUCGUGGGGGAUGACGUAGGGAAACUUACGCUACUACCGCAUACGACCUACGGGUGAAAGCAGGGGAUCUUCGGACCUUGCGCGAUUGAAUGAGCCGAUGUCGGAUUAGCUAGUUGGCUGGGUAAAGGCCCACCAAGGCGACGAUCCGUAGCUGGUCUGAGAGGAUGAUCAGCCACACUGGAACUGAGACACGGUCCAGACUCCUACGGGAGGCAGCAGUGGGGAAUAUUGGACAAUGGGCGCAAGCCUGAUCCAGCCAUACCGCGUGGGUGAAGAAGGCCUUCGGGUUGUAAAGCCCUUUUGUUGGGAAAGAAAAGCAGCAGGUUAAUACCCCGCUGUUCUGACGGUACCCAAAGAAUAAGCACCGGCUAACUUCGUG
rnacentral:rRNA from 1 species